rfam:Populus trichocarpa scaffold_10_contig_284, whole genome shotgun sequence.
AUGGCAGAUGAAAUGAAUAAGAUGGAUUCCCGUUGAUAAUUCAAUGUGAUAUCAUAACCAGCCACUUCUGAUCCAU